rnacentral:rRNA from 1 species
UGGGGAAUCUUGGACAAUGGGCGCAAGCCUGAUCCAGCCAUACCGCGUGAGUGAAGAAGGCCUUCGGGUUGUAAAGCUCUUUCAGACGGAAAGAAACGGUUACGGCUAAUACCCGUGACUAAUGACGGUACCGUAAGAAGAAGCACCGGCUAACUACGUGCCAGCAGCCGCGGUAAUACGUAGGGUGCGAGCGUUAAUCGGAAUUACUGGGCGUAAAGCGUGCGCAGGCGGUUUGGUAAGACAGAUGUGAAAUCCCCGGGCUUAACCUGGGAACUGCAUUUGUGACUGCCAGACUAGAGUGUAGCAGUGAAAUGCGUAGAUAUGUGGAGGAACACCGAUGGCGAAGGCAGCCCCCUGGGUCAAGAUUGACGCUCAUGCACGAAAGCGUGGGGAGCAAACAGGAUUAGAUACCCAAGUAGUCCCUGAGCGGGCUGGCAAGGCGCAU